GAUGAACGCUGACAGCAUGCUUAACACAUGCAAGUCAACUGUGGCGGACGGGUGAGUAACGCGUAAAGAACUUGCCUCACAGCUAGGGACAACAUUUGGAAACGAAUGCUAAUACCUGAUACUGUGAGAGAGCUUUGCGUCCCAUUAGCUAGUUGGAGAGGUAACGGCUCGCCAAGGCGAGGAUGGGUAGCCGGCCUGAGAGGGUGAUCGGCAACAAGGGGACUGAGACACGGGCCGUACUCAUACGGGAGGCAGCAGUGGGGAACUUUGGUCAAUGGACCACAGUCUGAUCCAGGAAUUCUGUGUGUACGAUUCAGUUUUCGGAAUGUAAAGUGCUUUUAGUUGGGAAGCGGUACCAACAGAAGAAGUGACGGCUAAAUACGUGCCAGCAGCCGCGGUAAUUC
rnacentral:rRNA from 1 species